UCCUUCUUAGCUCAGUUGGUAGAGCGCGUCACUAGUAACACUCUCAGUGUGCAUGACGAGGUCAGUCGUUCAAGUCGGCUAGAAGGAA